GACGAACCGUGCAAACGUUAUUCGGAAUCACUGGGCAUAAAGGGCGCGUAGGCGGCUUUCUAAGUCAGGGGUGAAAUCCGGCAGCUCAACUGUCGCAGUGCCUUUGAUACUGGAGAGCUCGAGGGAGGUAGGGGUCUGUGGAACUUCCGGUGGAGCGGUGAAAUGCGUUGAGAUCGGAAGGAACGCCCGUGGCGAAAGCGAGGUCCUGGACCCUUUCUGACGCUGAGACGCGAAAGCCAGGGGAGCGAACGGG
rnacentral:rRNA from 1 species